GCUCCCGGGUGGCCCAGGACCCCGUACAACAGCCGGGUCCGUGGGGCUCCGGGCCCCCGCGAAGCCCGAGGCGGUGGGGGCGGGACCGAACAAGCAUUGGCUGCUUGGCGUGGAGCUGCAUCUCUGGCUCGCUUCCACGUUACCACCUACGACCUGGGACAGAGCCUGAAGUCGCACCGUUACGCUUCUUGUCCUUCGGGUCUUGGAGGCGUAGAAGGUUCCCAGAGUCUCCUAGGAAACUGCCAGCACCCCUGGGCGAGGGAAUCUCCUAAACUGCGUGCGCCCCCCGCCCGCUGUGGGUAUCUCUUGGUCGCCAGGGCAAGAAGGACACCGGCCUGUGGAACGGGAUCCAGGCUAGGUGAGGGCCUCCUCUGCUUCGUGCUUCUUCCCACAACAUGCCGCUUCACCCAGUACUGGAAGCAAUGAGUCAACCAGCCAAGAACUGAAAGCUCCAACACAGGGAGCCCACCAGGAACGCAUCACCAGGAAGAUCGCAUUCUAGCCCAGGCUGGCCUUAAACUUCAGUAAUUCUCUGACUCCUGCCUCCCAAAUGCAAGGAUUAAAGACUCUCCCCACUGAUUCCAGAGCUUUGGUGAUUUCCCAGGACCCAGCGAUUCUCCAGUCACUGCUCCUUUGCCCACGACUGGAGUUGCAGACGUCAUGGCCAUGCCCA